GUGCCUUGCUCAAGGGCACUUCAGCCAUGGCCCACUGGUCGAGGCUCGAACCGGCAACCCUCCGGUUACCGGUCCAGAGUGCUAACCAGUAGGCCACGGCUGCCCUAAUUAUUAGAAUUAGAAUGCUGUUAGUGUCCCCUGCCCCUCUCCCAUGUUGACGUAGUAUCACUUACAUCCACUGUACUCCUCUUAGCUUUAUGACUGAGCCAGGUCUGUCCAGGCACUCUCCUCCUGGCCCUGGACCGGCGGUGGAGUCAAACCCAGCGUGUGUGUGUGUGUGUGUGUGUGUGUGUGUGUGUAUGUGUGUGUGUGUGUGUAUGUGUGUGUGUGUGUGUGUGUGUGGGAGGGAUGGAUGGAUGAGGAUGUUAGCUGUGAGGACACGUGGGCUUGGAGUGACGAGUGGAGUCAGUCAUCUCUCCAACAUCGCUCCCUCUCUCUCCACUUCUUUUCAAAUCCUCCUCCAACUCUCCUGCUGACGUGCUUGGGAGAGGGUGGGGUGGGUGGUGUUGAACUGGAGGGAGUUGGGGCUACACACCAUCUUCCUCGCCCCCUCUGUCCUCCUCGCUCCUGAGGAGGGGUGGGCCUCCUCCUCCUCAUGUCCCUGAGGCUGCCUUAACCCCGGGGUGGAGGCUCCAUAUACCUCUGGGGAGUCUCAGAACUGCCGGGAAUUGUCGAAACAAUCUCCAUGUGUGACUGAUGCAGUUUGUGUGUGUGUGUGUGUGUGUGUGCAUGUGUGGGGAAAGCCAAUAUGAUGAGACUAUCAGAGGCUCCCUGCCCAGACUAAUCUAAGACUGCUCUGUUGGGGUGAGAUACUCAGAGCUGUGCUGUAUCUGUGUGUGUGUGUGUGACUGAUUGCUCUGUUUGGGUGAGAUACACAGAGCUGAGUCAGCCAAUUGUCUGAUGGACUGCGAACUGCCAAGAAUCUCAUUUUCUCUGUUCAACCACUUGUUGAUCACAAUGACAGAGAAUGAGAUGGAUUGAACGAAUCCAACACAAAUAAAGUGUGUGUGUGUGAGAGUGAGUCUGUGUAUGUGUGUGUGUGUGAGUGUAUUAGAGUGUGUGUAUGUGUGUGUUGUGUGUGUGUGUGUUCAGUAUGUAAUGUGGUGUGUUAUGAGAAUUAAGAUCUUCAUCAUCACAAGACUAGCCAUGGCUGUCCUCCCCGAAAACUGACUCAGUCCUUCCCUCGGUAGUCUGACACGCAUGUACACACACCCACACACAAACAGACACAGACACACACACACACACAACACACAGCUACAACUUCCCGUCACACAUCGCAGCUGUGCCCUCUCCUUCCUCUGGCAUCACAAGGCGCAUGAUAGCAUUGCUGGGUCAUCUUUUACCGCUUGUUGACAUUUGACAUGAUCAUGUUUUUCCUUCUUUUUUUUUUUCUUGACACUGUGCUCUUGAUUUGUGUUGGUCACUCAAGCCUUUCCUAAUCCCCUGUCCUCUCGCUGACCAUCAGUGCUGACGCCUACCUACAAAUGCUAACAGAGACGGUAAAAAACAGAAAGCAAACUAGAAACAAAAAAAAAAUAGCGUCUCCACAGUUCUUCUCCUUGGACUACUGACAGGCUUUUAGAUGAACUUUCUCAAAUGGUGCUUAGCUUUUCACCGUCUCCCUCUUUGGUCUUUAGAGGGCGCUAACCUUGUUUUUUUUUUGGCCUUUACAGGGCGCUAUCCUUUUGCACAGCAUGUAGCAGUCAGAAUGGACAUGCAGCAUCUUUUAAAUGUUUCGUACCUGAGAGAAGAAGAGUCUGUGUAAUUUGAUUAGAUAGGACAGUGGUUGUCCCCACACCCUCACCGAACGUGUUCCGACCCCUCCACGAUAGCUAGAACAGAUAUUAACCCUGCAAUGAUCUCCUUAAUGAACUACAGUAAAGACGACAUGUUACCUGGAUGCAUGGUUAAGAGAAAUAGCUUUGCCUUAAGGACAACCCGAUGAAGGACUCUUUUGUACACUUUUUAUGUUAGUAUAUGGGAAAUGCAUGAUGUUUUUGUAUGACUGGAGGGUGUGUGGGGAUCCCUACAAGUUUAGUAAAUACAGCAGUCUGAUUCAGAAAAAAAUA